rnacentral:lncRNA from 1 species
GGUCCCAGUCUACAUUCCGUGGCAGCCUGGCUCCAACAUCCCAGGGAAUUGUGUCACUCCCAUUGAGCAGCUGUGGGGCCCUCUCCCACAUGGCCCAGGUCCACCACUCUGUCAAAGGUCGCACAGCCCAGACAAAAACAGGACACAGCAGUGUGUGAAUGAGCCGGGCUUUCUCCUUCCCUCCACGUAAUAGAAGGUGCCUGAGGUUGUUGAAACACAGUCCAUUUCUCCUGGGAAUGACAAGAAUUUGAGGGAUGCUGACUUUCAAGGAAUACUGCAUGACAGGCAUCAAGAUAAACCUGAUGAAGAAAACAUAGGCCAGAAUCUGGGAAUCGGGAGCAAAGUAAUACAGCUUCGGGGACAGGCACGUAAUGAGGUCAUGAUGUAGGAGACUCCCUGCAGGACUGGCGGCCCCUGUUCCCUGGGUUGUUCUGGCUCUUUCAGGGUAAAAUAAUUAUUUAGUUCCAAUCAUCUUUGUACACAAAGAUUUAUAUGUUAACAAGCUGAAUUCCUGCUUCAUCUGGAGGACUGCACAGUGUAUCUGAGAGAGGAUUUUCAGGAGGCCAGAAAAUCAAGCUGGAGGGAUUUUCAGCGUGUUGGGAGAUUGCUACCUGUUUUAAGUCAGGCCAUUGCCACGUCUUUUUCCCCACCUUGGAGACUUCAGCAAAUUGCUCAAAUGUCGGUGUGCUCUCAUGAACAGAAACGAUGGCACGGUGGGUCCUGGUCUCAAGACUUCCUCUCAAUGAUUCAGAGGUCUUGGGGGUUUUUUGUCUGAAUAUCAGGCAAAGAGGAAGGACGGCUACAAUGGAGGAGUCUCCUACCACGCUUGUGGUCGUCACUGUAGUGCUCAGUUGAAUGGUGUGUCCAUUGGGGUUGGAGUCCCCAUCCUGUUCUGGGUCCUGGCCCCCCACAGGCUCCAGGGACAUAACCCUUCCAGUUCAGGAUCAUGUGCUGGGGCACUGUUCCCUGAGGUGGGACUCUGGGCUGUAACAGCUGCUUUUGAAGCAUGUUCCAGCUUCAACCACGUGCUUGGACGACACCAGCUCUUCCCACAUACUCUUCCCCAGCUCUUGUGUUGAGUUUGGCUUCCACCUUCCUCCAGCUGGGUCUCGCUAUGUUGCCCAAGCCAUUCUGGAGCUCCUGCGCUUAAGUGAUCCUCCUGCCUCAGCCUCCCAAGUAACUGGAAUUAUAAAUGUGAGCCACUGUGCCCAGCAAUUACAAAAUUUUUGGAAUGCAAUUGGGAAGUACAGCUGAAAAACUUCAGCAACGUGGGCUGUUUGAUUGUACAAUCGCACUUCUUGGAAUUUAUCCUACAGAAAUCAGUAGUCAAGUUCACAAAAACUGACAAUAGCCAUUACAGAGAAGCAGAAGAAAGGGAAAUAAAAACAUUCAAACCUACCAACAGGAGAUUGGACAAAUAAAUCAUGUUAUAACUAUACAAUGGGCUAUUAUGUAACCAUUAAAAUGAUCAUCUAUUCUAGAUCUAUACUUAUUGCAAUAUAAUAAUAACCAUAAUAUAUAGUUAUUUGAUAAAAGAAGGUAGCACAUGUGAGGUAGUACAUCUCAUUUCUAUUAGAAAAAACUACACACAAACACAAACAUCGAAGAAAGGGAUCUGGGAAGAGAAGACAAGAAGCUCCCGGUGCAUUGCUCGGGAGAAACACAACCUAUGCCGUCAGUAACUAAUUCCCAGGGCGACAUCAUUG